GGCACUCUAGCGAGACUCGUCGGUAAUAAACCGGAGGAAGGUGGGAUGACGUCAAAUCAUCAUGCCCCUUAUGUACCUGGGCUACACACGUGCUACAAUGGCCGGUACAGACGGACGCAAAGCCGCGAGGUGGAGCAAAUCCUAAAAAGCCGGUCUCAGUUCGGAUUGCAGGCUGCAAUUCGCCUGCAUGAAGUCGGAAUCGCUAGUAAUCGCGGAUCAGCACGCCGCCGGUGAACUAUGUUCCCGGCCUU
rnacentral:rRNA from 1 species